ensembl:lncRNA
CAUCACUGCAACAUAAAUAAAACAUUUAGAGCAUGCAUACCAUGUAGAAAACACAUUUUAAUGCCUUCCUGCAAUUUGUGCUGUUAUUAUUCAGAACUAGUUAGCUUAGCCUCUAUAAUGUAAAAUUAUUUUGAACCUGAAUUUUGACAUUUUUAGGAAUUACUCCAAAUCAAUAAUCUUCGAAUCUCACAAGGCUUUUGUAUUAAAUACUGUGGAUCUGCAAACUCAGUCUAAAAGAUUCCAAUUACAUAAUCCUGGCAUAAGUCUCAGAAGUAUGCAUUUUUACCAAAAAAUUCUGCAAGAAUUCUCCACAGGAAUCCUUCUGUAUCAGUGGCAAAUGCAUGUCCAGGAAACAAGACUCUCAUUUUGGAGGUUUAUAUUUAGCUCUGAAAGUAGCCCACAUUACUUUAGGAUGAAAAGCUUUAUUUAGAAAAUGAUACUAUGCUGAGGAAUCAGGAAUCUAAGUCCUUCUAUGUAACACAUCCUAGUGGGUGGAGUGGCAACUUGUGCAACGUUCAGGCAUCUCAGCUUCUCUCCACAGCAUAUGUACUACUUCUGUAUAGUUACUCGUGUUCCUGGUGCAGAGGAGGCGGGCAAAUCUGAUGUCCCAAAGCAGGUAGUUCCAGGCUGAGAGUUACUUUGCGGUGACUUAAGAGUGAGGUCCAGGGAGUGCUUCUGUGAUGCUGAUGGUUGGGGUGGGGUUUCAUAAUUACACAUUCUCUCCUUACUCCUUUGAGUAUAGGGGAGGACCAGGCCUUUGGCAAGAGACCAGAAGGGUACCAAGGAAGGAGGCUAUGUGAGAAAGAAGGGGACAUGAUUUCACAUUCUUUGCAUUCUCUGUGCAACAUUUACAUGCUGCCUUUCUUUGGGUUUUUGCCUCCCAAACUUAAGGACUUGUCUUUUUCUUCUCAAUCCUGCAUCCUGGUGUUACAUACUGUGUUGAAGCUAAAGGCUGGAAAAAGAGGCAAAGAGAAGAGAGAGAGAGAGAAACCACUUGAUGGUUCAUCUGCAAAUGCCUACAGCUGCGAGAGGUGUCUGAGGCCCAUGAUGCAAGUCUGGGAUUUAAUGCCAGUCUCCUACACGGGUUAUUAGGACUCCUUCCUCUGCAAGAUGACUGGGAUACUAACAUAGUUUGCAAACCGCAACCUGCACACACGUGACUUGGGUAUGUUUUGAAAGUCCCAUAUCUAGUCCAGAAGCUACCACGUGAGACCUGUUAGUAGAUGUUGCUGAAGAUCCCAAAAUGUGUUCCCAAAUGUUCUCUGAACACAAUUGGAGAUAAAAAGCUUUAUAUCCCUAAUAUUCCUAAGCUUCGAUUAGCCAGUUAAGCAGAAUUUUAAAACUGCACUCAGUGCAUUACUUCCCUAAUCACUAGGGGUGUAUAAACCCAUCUUGGUUUUGGCCUGACCUGAUAUUAUACUUCAUGCUCAGUACUUGCCUUUCUUAGAACCUUCUCCUGUCUUAUUUCAAAGAUCUUUCUGAAAAAAAAAAAAAAACUAAUUACUCCUAAAUAUAACUGAACUUCUGUUGAAUACUGACCUUUCUCCUUUGGAUCUGUCCUGGAGUCACAGUGAUGUGACAUGAGAGAGUAGAGCCUCAUUUUGAGGCUCUCACUCAAGGGAAGGUCAUUAAAGAAAGGUUGAUUGUUUCUUUAAUGUAAGACAAGUCUCAUCGUUUUGAAGGGGAGUAGGUGGGUCUUGCUUUCAAUGGCCAGGAAACUUCAAAUGAAAUUGGCAUGUCAGAGAUCACAGCUUUGCCUGGGUUUGUCCAGAUGCCUCAAACUCAAGUUUCAAUGCCUUGUUUUUAUAUAAGAUCUUGAUUAUCUCACUAUAUAAUAGAUUAAUCUCACACACUUAAAUGCUUUAGCAAAGCUGCAACCCACCAUGCUCUCAGCUUGCAGCAUCAGGAUUAAUGCUCUAACACUUCAGAGAACACAGUUGCCUCAUUAAUUGCUUGAUACUUGAUUUUAAAAUUCAAGUGUUUAAAUUCAUUUUUUUUUCUUCAUGUAUACUCUCAAAGGCUCUCAGAGGUUGGUGGUUAAGCCUUCUCCAAAGUUUCUGUAGUGUCUGUAGUGAUCCUUUAUCACCACUGG